rnacentral:rRNA from 1 species
AGUGAACGCUGGCGGUAGGCCUAACACAUGCAAGUCGAACGGCAGCACAGAGGAGCUUGCUCCUUGGGUGGCGAGUGGCGGACGGGUGAGGAAUACAUCGGAAUCUACUCUGUCGUGGGGGAUAACGUAGGGAAACUUACGCUAAUACCGCAUACGACCUACGGGUGAAAGCAGGGGACCUUCGGGCCUUGCGCGAUUGAAUGAGCCGAUGUCGGAUUAGCUAGUUGGGGGGGUAAAGGCCCACCAAGGCGACGAUCCGUAGCUGGGCUGAGAGGAUGAUCAGCCACACUGGAACUGAGACACGGGCCAGACUCCUACGGGAGGCAGCAGUGGGGAAUAUUGGACAAUGUGCGCAAGCCUGAUCCAGCCAUACCGCGUGGGUGAAGAAGGCCUUCGUGUUGUAAAGCCCUUUUGUUGGGAAAGAAAUCCAGCUGGCUAAUACCCGGUUGGGAUGACGGUACCCAAAGAAUAAGCACCGGCUAACUUCGUGCCAGCCGCCGCCGUAA